rnacentral:misc_RNA from 1 species
UACGGAGGGUGCAAGCGUUAAUCGGAAUUACUGGGCGUAAAGCGCACGCAGGCGGUCUGUCAAGUCGGGCGUGAAAUCCCCGGGCUCAACCCGGGAACUGCAUCCGAAACUGGCAGGCUAGAGUCUUGUAGAGGGGGGUAGAAUUCCAGGUGUAGCGGUGAAAUGCGUAGAGAUCGGGAGGAACACCGGUGGCGAAGGCGGCCACCUGGCCAAAGUCUGACGCUCAGGUGCGAAAGCGUGGGGAGCAAACAGG